CCGGUGGCUAGGGGGUGGCAGGGCAGCCUCGCGGCUCUGCUCCGAGGCUCUGCGUCCGGAGCCCCGAAAUCCCGAGCUCGCUCUGCGCUCGGCUCCCUGAAGCCGGCGGCGGGGUUGGAAACGGGGCUGGGGGUGCGGCGGCUCAGGGCCCGCUGGGCCGGGGGCCGCUCUCCCCGACGCAGGGUGGGGUCACCGAGGAGGGUCUAGGCCGCAGGAAGAGGCGACUUGCCCCCACCAAGCCCGCGUGGGCGAGACGCGGUGCCCGGGUGGGCCAGGAGAGCCUCGCGGUGUGGAGGCCGUGAGGGAAGACAUGCGCCCAGUGAGGCUCUCGGCAAGGGCCGCGGCGGCCCGAGCAGUCCGGGGAUCGGGAAAGCUUCCCGGAGAGAUGACUGGCCGCGCCCCUGCCGCCUCCCGAGGAGGUCUGGCCCUGCAGGCCCAGCACAGUUGCCCACGUGGAAGACUCUGGAGCCACGACCAAGCACAGCUAACGGAGAUGUCUCCUCGCUUGGCAGGGACUCGCCCUGGGUACCGUUGUACAGACCUGGGACUUAGGAAUGGAAUAAUAAGAAAUAAAACAAGUAAGGGGCGUCUGGG